GUCAUAAUCCAACAAGGACACCAGGAAUUAGGUCAGGGCGGGAACGCAGCAGCCUUAACUAGUGAAAUUGUGUGGGUUAUUACAUA
rnacentral:SRP_RNA from 1 species